rnacentral:rRNA from 1 species
AAACAUGGCUCUUUGAUGUUAUUAGAUAAAGAGUCGGGCCUGCCCAGUGAUAGAAUAUUAUUUAACGGCCGCAGUAUCUUGACUGUGCAAAGGUAGCAUAAUCAUUUGCCUUGUAAUUUAGGGCUGGUAUGAAUGGUCUGACAAGAACAAAGCUGUCUCUAAAAAGUUCUAUUGAAAUUGACUUCUAAGUGAAAAGGCUUAGAUAAAACUGAAAGACGAGAAGACCCUAUCGAGCUUAAUAGAUUAUUUAGAAUUACUAAUAUUUUUUUUGGUUGGGGCGACCAAGGAACAGAUAAAGCUUCCUUAGAUUAAAAAACGAUAAAUUUUGAUCCAGUAAAAUUGAUUAAAAAAUAAGUUACCGUAGGGAUAACAGCGUAAUUUUCUUUGAGAGUACAUAUUAAAGAGAAAUUUUGCGACCUCGAUGUUGGACUAAAGUAUCCUAAAGAUGCAGAAGUCUUUAAGGGUUGGUCUGUUCGACCAUUAAAACUUUA